AGUGAACGCUGGCGGUAGGCCUAACACAUGCAAGUCGAACGGCAGCGCAGUAAGAGCUUGCUCUUACGGGUGGCGAGUGGCGGACGGGUGAGGAAUACAUCGGAAUCUACUUUUUCGUGGGGGAUAACGUAGGGAAACUUACGCUAAUACCGCAUACGACCUACGGGUGAAAGCAGGGGAUCUUCGGACCUUGCGCGAUUGAAUGAGCCGAUGUCGGAUUAGCUAGUUGGCGGGGUAAAGGCCCACCAAGGCGACGAUCCGUAGCUGGUCUGAGAGGAUGAACAGCCACACUGGCACUGAGACACGGUCCAGACUCCUACGGGAGGCAGCAGUGGGGAAUAUUGGAAAAUGGGCGCAAGCCUGAUCCAGCCAUACCGCGUGGGUGAAGAAGGCCUUCGGGUUGUAAAGCCCUUUUGUUGGGAAAGAAAAGCAGCAGGUUAAUACCCCGCUGUUCUGACGGUACCCAAAGAAUAAGCACCGGCUAACUUCGUG
rnacentral:rRNA from 1 species